rnacentral:rRNA from 1 species
UGGUAGUCCACGCCGUAAACGAUGUCGACUUGGAGGUUGUGCCCUUGAGGCGUGGCUUCCGGAGCUAACGCGUUAAGUCGACCGCCUGGGGAGUACGGCCGCAAGGUUAAAACUCAAAUGAAUUGACGGGGGCCCGCACAAGCGGUGGAGCAUGUGGUUUAAUUCGAUGCAACGCGAAGAACCUUACCUACUCUUGACAUCCAGAGAAUUUAGCAGAGAUGCUUUAGUGCCUUCGGGAACUCUGAGACAGGUGCUGCAUGGCUGUCGUCAGCUCGUGUUGUGAAAUGUUGGGUUAAGUCCCGCAACGAGCGCAACCCUUAUCCUUUGUUGCCAGCGGUUCGGCCGGGAACUCAAAGGAGACUGCCAGUGAUAAACUGGAGGAAGGUGGGGAUGACGUCAAGUCAUCAUGGCCCUUACGAGUAGGGCUACACACGUGCUACAAUGGCAUAUACAAAGAGAAGCGACCUCGCGAGAGCAAGCGGACCUCAUAAAGUAUGUCGUAGUCCGGAUUGGAGUCUGCAACUCGACUCCAUGAAGUCGGAAUCGCUAGUAAUCGUAGAUCAGAAUGCUACGGUGAAUACGUUCCCGGGCCUUGUACACACCGCCCGUCACACCAUGGGAGUGGGUUGCAAAAGAAGUAGGUAGCUUAACCUC